rnacentral:rRNA from 1 species
AGCAGCCGCGGUAAUUCCAGCUCCAAUAGCGUAUAUUAAAGUUGUUGCAGUUAAAAAGCUCGUAGUUGAAUUUCGGGACUAACAGAUUGGUCGCGCCUUUGGUGUGUACUGGUCUAGUUGGUUUCUCCCUUCUGACGAACCACGAUGUCAUUAAUUUGGUGUCGUGGGAAAUCAGGACUGUUACUUUGAAAAAUUAGAGUGUUUAAAGCAGGCUCGCGCUUGAAUACAUUAGCAUGGAAUAAUGAAAUAGGACGUUUGAUCCUAUUUUGUUGGUUUCUAGGAUCGACGUAAUGAUUAAUAGGGAUAGUUGGGGGCAUUAGUAUUCAAUUGUCAGAGGUGAAAUUCUUGGAUUUAUUGAAGACUAACUACUGCAAAAGCAUUUGCCAAGGAUGUUUUCAUUAAUCAAGAACGAAAGUUAGGGGAUCGAAGACGAUC